UACGUAGGGUGCGAGCGUUAAUCGGAAUUACUGGGCGUAAAGCGUGCGCAGGCGGUUUUGUAAGCCAGAUGUGAAAAUCCCCGGGCUUAACCUGGGAAUGGCAUUUGGGACUGCAAGGCUGGAGUGUGGCAGAGGGAGACUGGAAUUCCUGGUGUAAGCAGUUGAAAUGCGUAGAUAUCAGGAGGAAUACCGAUGGCGAAGGCAGGUCUCUGGGCUGACACUGACGCUCAUGCACGAAAGCGUGGGGAGCAACAGGAUAGAAACCCG
rnacentral:rRNA from 1 species